rnacentral:rRNA from 1 species
UACAGAGGGGGCAAGCGUUGUCCGGAAUCAUUGGGCGUAAAGAGCGUGUAGGCGGCCUGCAUAGUCUGGUGUGAAAUCUCGGGGCUCAACCCCGAGCGGUCACUGGAUACUGGCAGGCUUGAGUCCGGAAGAGGAGUGUGGAAUUCCUGGUGUAGCGGUGGAAUGCGCAGAUAUCAGGAGGAACACCUAUGGCGAAGGCAGCACUCUGGUACGUGACUGACGCUGAGACGCGAAAGCGUGGGGAGCAAACAGG